GACAGCUAGGAUGUUGGCUUGGAAGCAGCCAUUCAUUUAAAGAGUGCGUAACAGCUCACUAGUCGAGCGGACGAGCAUGGAUAAUAAUCGGGCAUAAGCAUAUUACCGAAGCUAUGGAUUUUCCGCUUAUGCGGAAAGUGGUAGGGGAGCAUUCUAAACUGGGUCGAAGGUGUGAUGUGAGUCAUGCUGGACUGUUUAGAAAAGAAAAUGUAGGCAUAAGUAACGAUAAUGCGGGCGAGAAACCCGCACACCGAAAAACUAAGGUUUCCGCAGCUAUGCUAAUCAGCUGCGGGUUAGUCGGGUCCUAAGGCGAACCCGAAAGGGACAGUCGAUGGCCAACGGGUUAAUAUUCCCGUACUACUUAUAAUUGUGAUGGAGAGACGCAGUGGUGAAAGUACCGCGAACUGACGGAAUAGUUCGUUGAAGGUUGUAGCUAUAUUUCAGAUAGGCAAAUCCGUUUGAAAUGGUAAAGACUGAUAGUACUCGGAGUCUUCGGACAAAGAGAUAGUGUACCUAAAGGCUGCCAAGAAAAUCUUCUAAACUUAGAUUAUAAGUACCCGUACCGUAAACCGACACAGGUAGUUGAGGAGAGAAUCCUAAGGUGCUCGAGAGAUUCAUGGCUAAGGAAUUAGGCAAAAUAGACCUGUAACUUCGGGAGAAAGGUCGCCCCGAGCAAUCGGGGCCGCAGUGAAAAGAUCCAGGCGACUGUUUAUCAAAAACACAGGGCUCUGCAAAAUCGUAAGAUGAAGUAUAGGGCCUGACACCUGCCCGGUGCUUGAAGGUUAAGUGGAGAUGUUAUCUUCGGAGAAGCAUUGAAAUGAAGCCCAAGUAAACGGCGGCCGUAACUAUAACGGUCCUAAGGUAGCGAAAUUCCUUGUCGGGUAAGUUCCGACCUGCACGAAUGGCGUAACGAUUUGGGCACUGUCUCAACUGUGAGCUCGGCGAAAUUGUAGUAGCGGUGAAGACGCCGCUUACCCGCAGUGGGACGAAAAGACCCUGUGCACCUUUACUAUAGCUUAAUAUUGACCUUGGACACGUGAUGUGUAGGAUAGGUGGGAGACUAUGAAGUGGCGUCGCUAGGCGUUGUGGAGUCAUUGUUGAAAUACCACCCUUUGCUUGUCUGAGGCCUAACCCGCCAUUGGCGGGGACAUUGUUUGGUGGGUAGUUUGACUGGGGUGGUCGCCUCCAAAAGAGUAACGGAGGCUUCUAAAGGUUCCCUCAGCACGCUUGGUAACCGUGCGUAGAGUGCAAUGGCAUAAGGGAGCUUGACUGAGAGACAUACAGGUCGAUCAGGUACGAAAGUAGAGCAUAGUGAUCCGGUGGUUCCGCAUGGAAGGGCCAUCGCUCAAAGGAUAAAAGGCACGCCGGGGAUAACAGGCUGAUCUCCCCCAAGAGCUCACAUCGACGGGGAG
rnacentral:rRNA from 1 species